UACGUAGGGACCGAGCGUUGUCCGGAUUUAUUGGGCGUAAAGGGUGCGUAGGCGGCCCUCUAAGUCAGUGGUGAAAUACUGCAGCUUAACUGUAGCAUUGCCAUUGAUACUGGAGGGCUUGAGUACAGAUAAGGUAGGCGGAAUUUAUGGUGUAGCGGUGAAAUGCAUAGAUACCAUAAAGAACACCUAUUGCGAAGGCAGCUUACUAAGCUGUAACUGACGCUGAGGCACGAAAGCGUGGGGAGCGAACAGG
rnacentral:rRNA from 1 species